ensembl:lncRNA
ACAGAGUUCCCAGCCUUUGUCCCUCUGCUGAAUUCCUGAUUCAGCAGAUGUGUUCAGGAACAGACAGCAGGUACAGGCACACAGGUGCCCAGGGACACUGACAGCACAGGUGCUCAGGGACACUGAGGACAGCAGGUACAGGCACACAGGUGCCCAGGGACACUGAGGGCACAGGUCCAAGCUUGGUGCUCAGUGCUGCCCCACCACCAGCCCUUCCCACACACCCUCCUUCCAACAUUGGAAAUAAACCUUUGUUUUCCUUGUUCACAACCACUGCUGAGUACCUGAGUCAUACCUUGAAGCAAACUGUGAGGGGGAGCAGGGAACCCCCACACUCAUCCUCGUCCUCUGCAGGAAAAGGAGCCAGAACAAACCAGCAAAGCUUCAUCUUUGCACGUGUGCAGAAGAGUCGGGCUCGAGGCUCUCCUGGAGAAAUCUCACAUCAUGGGAAUUUCAUGGGAACCUGCAAAAACAGAAACCUGAGCCAGGACACAAUUUCACUGAGCUGUAGAGACCACAGGUCACUGAUUCUGAAUGACUUGUAUCUAGGGCUGGCUCAUGCCCACAUUCCAUUCCUUUCUCCUUUUGAUUGUCUCUAUAUCGUCACGCAGCUAAAAUUCAGAUGUGCAGUGGAAACAUUAUUUCCUCCACUCACAAUGAUUUUUACUGCUCCUGGAGCUUUGGUUCUGCUUUGCUCAUGCAACUUUCCCUCUGUAGUUCCAAAAUGGCAGUUCUUUAACUGAGCAUGGAAACAGAUCUUAACUCUCUACUCAUAAAACCAUUGAAGACAUUGCUGUUCCCUGGUAAGAUAACACCCCUGACAUCUCAGUGGGGUAUGGCAGGAGCAGGAUUUCCUCCCACACCAUCCAUCACCCUGAACUGAGAUGCUGUGGGGCACAUCUCUCAUCCUGGCCAAGCAAGCACUGCUUGAUGCAAAAUGAGAUGGGAAAUAGUUUUCAGACACUUUUCCACUCCUUUAAUCCUAGGUUUACCUUGAUAAUAUGUGAUUUAUUGUAUUUUGCAUCAGUGGUUAAAACACCAAGACAACGACAUUCUUUAUCUAAAGCAGACAAAAACAAGGUUUAACAAACCAGGUGGCCAGGACAACAAACAAAGCAGAGCCUGUGGUUUCCUAAUUCAGGUUAGUCUGUCUACUUGUGGGGAUGAAAUAUUGGUGCAAUUUUAAGAUGGUUGAGAACAACGAGUGAAUGAAGCCUGGUGUGUCUGUACCAGGAGGGGAGUCCUCAAAGGAAAGAGAAUUUAAUAGGACAGACCCUUAAAAACUACACUUUGGUCCAAGAGGAGUUACAGAUAUUUUUAAAUUUAAAAACAUGGUGAUACUCGGACACUGAAAAUUCAUUAACUCUGAAUUUCAGCCAAGAACUCAAGCUAAAACACAGGACACUGAAAUCAAGCAAGAGCUCAGGAAAAAGGAAUUAUCUGAGCUGACCUAUGAGCACACAAAAUAUUUGAGAUGUAUAAUUUAAAGAGAAAGUUGUCAGUAUUUAACUUUUACUGAAAUUAGGCAACUAAAAAUAUAGCCAAAAUUUGACAGAGCAUACUAUCAGUCAAGAAAAUCCAAACACAAAUAUGCUGUACAGAUAACACAGCAAUAGAUCCAGCUCUGGAUCACCAGCAGGGAGCAGAAUUAUAGUUACAUGAGUAUUUAUCGAAAAGCUUACAAAAGUAAUAAAAACAAAUGAAACCAAUCAAUCAAAAUUGGUCAAGGACCUUGAUCAGUGAUUAUUCUCAGUAACACACGGGGAGCCUCAGCUGCAGCCUUUGAGGUUAAAGUUGGAAACAAAGGGUGACACUCCGGAGCUGUGCACAGGAAAGCACAGCCUGCCUUGGCUCUGGCAGGAGAAACACAGACUGUCAGCAGGCUGAGAGAGAAAAGUGCAGGGCAGGGGCAGUGGAGGCCUCUCAGCCCCAGCUGAGGGGGGCACGCAGUGAAGGACAGGGAGGCUGCAGAGCACCCACAGCACCCAGAGCCCCCCACACCCCGGGGCUCCCACAGGACCCACAUCUGCCGUCUGCCACUGCACCUGCAGCUGCAGCCAGCCUCCUGCACUGCCUCUUUCCACAGCCUGACCGACAGCAGGGUCUUUAAUCAUGCCCACGGCUCGUUUUGCUGACCCCUUCAACAAACAUAAGAUCUCCUCCAUCAGAUGCCAUCAGACACAGCUGCUCUCAGCUGCACAGUCAGAGCACCUCAGAACGCAGAGAGCUGGAGGGGUGCUGCUGACCCACCCUUACCUUAUGAGAUAUUGCAAAACUCAAUGUUUAGUUCACAUGGUUUAGCAUACAUAUAAAGAUGAUUAUGUUAAUAUCUAAAUAACAAUCUAGAUGUUACUGUUAUUCAGCAGAAAUUGGUUAUUAAAGAAAGUGCAUAAACUAGAAUGGACUUCUGCUGUUAAGAGCUCAUUCAAAGAUAGUCUAUUCUAUUAAUGUUACUUAAAUCAUCAGAUUCUGUGCACAUUCUUAUAAAAUCUAAAAUAAUAUGAUUUUAUAUUGACUUACAUACUAGAGUUUUUAGGUAUCUUGUGAUCAGCCCCUUUAUUGUGUAGAUGAUAUCUAUACAAAUCAUUUAAUACUUAAAUUGAUAUAAAACCCUGCUUCAGAAAUAAAACUUUAGUUCCCAGAAGACAUCUUUCUCAAUAGAGCUACAUGCCUCAAGAAACAACUUGUCAGUAGUGAGAAUGCUCUGGAGAAAUAAUAUGGAACCUUCCUCAUGGCCUUCCUAACUGCAGUACUGUUGAUCCAAAUUGAUGCCAACUGCCAACUCUUCCAACAAAGAUGAUACAGAUGAAACUUGUGUGAAACACAACACUGAAAAACUCGACAUAUUUUUCCCCUCCUUGCUUCGGAAGAAGGGCAAAUGGAAGAAGGCAGAAUCAUUUGGCUUUCUGUAAUGUUUAACAAAAGUGCGUUUAAGUCUGAAAAGUGUACUUCAAAAAUCUAUUCCUGUACGUGAAGCAGACCCAUAUCAGGACAUCACUAACAUUUUUGAUUACUCUAUAAGCACACAAAAGCAAAUGUCAGAGAGACCUCUGUAAGGUCUAAUAAAAAUAAUUUUGUGAGGAUGCUCGUAUCUAAUGAAAUAUGAAGCAUAGCCAAACUGCUGUUUGCUGUUGUUGCAAAUUUGAUUUCAGGAUAUGGAAAAUGGUUAUAGACAAGAUAAGGGUCUCCACUGCCCCAGCCUGCACACUGCCUGGGUGAGACAGCUUAUCACUGCUCCUUCCUGUGCAGAUGCACAGAGAUGCGCCAGUUGUUCUGCUUCUGCUAAUCCCAUUAGGCAUGAAAAUCACACCCUGCUGCACCACACACUGACAAAGUCUAACACAAACCUGAACCAGAUGCUCUGGAGAAAAUGUUUAUAUCCCUUUUUGUUUUAACUAAAAUACACCUCUUACCUAAGUGGAAAAAGCGCCAAGCCUUCCUAAAUCCAAGUAGUCCACAAAGGAACCCAAGUCGUACUGCUGCAAACAUUAAGGUUGCGUCUCCAGCAUUCUCUGACCACAUAAGAAGCUAAGGAAGCCACGCGACUCCGGGGGCAUCUCUGGAUACUCUGAAAAGGAGCAUUCAACAAUUAACAAUGAAUUAGCUCGUGACUUUGUUGCGUGAAAGAGGCAGGGGUGUGACAGCUUUAGAACACCCGAGAACAAAAGGAUCGUCGAGGUAUUCCACUGGGUCAUCAUAAAGGAUGGCAGCCAUCCUCAGAGCACGUUCCUCCUUUCUCUCACACUGCAUAUUCAGUGUUUUUGGCAAAAACGUUCAAACAAGAGGACUUUCCAUAUCAUUAUUUGUUACCUACCUUCAGUCAUCUGUUACCAACUUGAAGACAGCCACUGAUAUUUUUCAGUAGUGAAAAGGGGUGAAAGUGCUGCGAUGAUGAGUAGUAUUCCUAAAAACUGCUGAAGGAAAUUUAUGAAAUGUCUUAAUUUAGCUACAGAAUUUUAGGUUUAAAUUGAGAGGGAGACAUUUUUAUUUUUCGGCCCAAAGUAGACAAGCACAGUCUCUUCUCAUCUUAUUCCCUAAGUCUAUUCGCAGAGCCAUCCCCGUGUUAAGAAGGAGCCGCUCCGUGUGGGUGCCCGGUUCUCCAGGACAUCCUGCACCACUCUGUGUGGGUGCCCGGUUCUCCAGGGCAUCCUGCACAGCCCCAUGUGGGUGCCCGGCUCUCCAGGACAUCCUGCACCACUCUGUGUGGGUGCCCGGUUCUCCAGGGCAUCCUGCACAGCCCCAUGUGGGUGCCCGGCUCUCCAGGACAUCCUGCACCACUCUGUGUGGGUGCCCGGUUCUCCAGGGCAUCCUGCACAGCCCCAUGUGGGUGCCCGGCUCUCCAGGACAUCCUGCACCACUCUGUGUGGGUGCCCGGUUCUCCAGGGCAUCCUGCACAGCCCCAUGUGGGUGCCCGGCUCUCCAGGACAUCCUGCACCCCCCCCCCCCCCCCCCCCCCCCCCCCCC